AAAAAAAAUAAGAUUAGUAACUCUAACUACUAGUAUGGUCUGAAAUCAAAAUUAUGAUUAAGUAUCAACAAACUCGACAACAGUGCCUAAAUAAAUAUAGAGUGAUAUACUACUGAACUGAAAUGACUAACUCCUCUGAAAUAAACAGACUAGAUGGUAAAUGCAACUCUGCAAUGGUAAAUCAAUCUUCUGAAAUCAAAAUUCUGAUUACUAUAUGUAUACACAAAAAUGGAUCUGAGAAAACACUAUAUAUAAGUAUAAUGUACACAGUGGCUAACAAUACCUCACAACUGAAAACCAAUGAGUAUGUAUAAUGAAAACAAAUAUGAAUAGUAUCAAUAUACACGUACGUACCUUUUUUAAAGUUCCUACCCAGCUAUGUCUCUGCAAAUCACACACACCUAAUACUCACCAAA
rnacentral:lncRNA from 1 species